GAGUUUGAUCGUGGCUCAGAUUGAACGCUGGCGGCAGGCCUAACACAUGCAAGUCGGGCGGUAGAGAGAAGCUUGCUUCUCUUGAGAGCGGCGGACGGGUGAGUAAUGCCUAGGAAUCUGCCUGGUAGUGGGGGAUAACGCUCGGAAACGGACGCUAAUACCGCAUACGUCCUACGGGAGAAAGCAGGGGGACCUUCGGGCCUUGCGCUAUCAGAUGAGCCUAGGUCGGAUUAGCUAGUUGGUGAGGUAAUGGCUCACCAAGGCGACGAUCCGUAACUGGUCUGAGAGGAUGAUCAGUCACACUGGAACUGAGACACGGUCCAGACUCCUACGGGAGGCAGCAGUGGGGAAUAUUGGACAAUGGGCGAAGGCCUGACGCAGCAACGCCGCGUGGAGGAUGAAGGCCCUUGGGUUGUAAACUCCUGUCGGCUGGGAAGAAAUCGUUCGGGGCUAAUACCUUCGGACGUUGACUGUACCAGCAAAGGAAGCCCGGCGUAACUCUGUGCCAGCAGCCGCAAG
rnacentral:rRNA from 1 species